UCUGAUAUGCAGGCUAUUUUAUAUGCGACCCCUGUGAAAAGGUUGUUCGACAACACCCCCCCCCACACACACACAGGUUGAGAAACACUGUUCUAGUGCCUUCUGGGGCAACAAGGGAAAGGUAAAUGUGAGGGACCUUUCGCUAGGGCCACACAGGUCAUGCUGUCCUUAUUAACUCAAGAUGGGGGGAGGAACGGCACAUAGGUCUUGUAACCCCUCUCCCCACGAUGGGCAGCAGCCAUGUCCCGUGUGAAAAGUGAAGGGCCCAAGUAAGAAGGGCUCCUAUUAACCUAUUCCCCAGGCUGGGAUGCCUUGAGGCUCAGUCUUGAUGCAGAGGGAGGAGCUUGGUCCUGCCUCAACUUGUUAAGUCAUGCUUUCUUGACUUCUAUGGAAGGCCUGCCUUUGGAGAAGUGGAUGUGGAGGUGGGGUGUAGGUAGAUGGGAGCAGGGGAGGGAAUGGCAAGAGAGGAGGGAGGGGAAACUGUGGUUGGUACAUAAAAUAAAUGAAGAGAUUUAAUCAUAAUAAACAAACCAACUUCUCUCAUUUUGUAGAAGAUAAAGAUACCAAAUCAGACCAAAUUCUUCAAGAUCAUGGUACAAUACCUGCAUUUUCUCGUCUGUAUUGUUUUGUUUUGUUUUUUGUUUGUUUGUUUUUUGUUUUUUCCAAGUCAGGGUUUCUCUGUAGGUUUGGAGCCUGACUUAGAACUAGCUCUUGUAGACCAGGUUGGCCUCAAACUCACAGAGACCUGCCUACCUCCAUUUUUCUCAUCUGUAAAAUGGAUGUUUGAGCCGCACAUUCAUCUUGGGCUGAUGUGAGGUAAAAUUUACACAAAGAACCACACACAAGGUUCAGGAUGUCAGUGGUAUAUGCUAUCUUGCUUUUCUUUUCAUUUCCUGUCAGUAGGCGCUACUGAUGGCUAUUGGCGGACUACAGAUUUUCAUGUAACAAGCAGAUUUUUAACAACGAUGAUUUUGUCUGAUAAGCAUCUGUUUAAUCAAUCAACUCGCUCAAGUCUUUAUCAUUGCCCAUUCGCCAGCCUCGAGUUCUGUCUAUGCUGGUGUUGCCCUGGUUUGUGAAAAUGCUGAGGGCACUUGGGCAAGAAGCAAGAGAAAGAUACAGGAAACAAAGCCAGUCAAGACGAGGUGUAGCAAGUGUCCCUAAAGAGACCCAAAUAAAGCAUUUCAGAACCAUGGAACCUGAUGAAGCUUCCCAGGCAAUUCCAUCCUGGAGGAUAAGCGGCUCUCCAUAUCUGAGCUACAGAAUUUCAGGCAAGAAAACCAGCAUUACAAAAGAAAAAUAAGACAGGGCUGAGAGUCUGGAUUUACUUGUGAUAGGAUGUCUGGAACCUUCUGAGUUCCAAAGAUCAGGACCAAUCUCUGACUGGAACUGUAGAGACCUGCCUGCAGCUCAGUCCUCUGCCAGACAGUAGCCUGCCUGUUCUCAACCCCAGGGAAAUGUUAAGCAGGCCAUUUUGUUCAGCAUGGGCUGCUCCAGGUACCAUUGACAGCUCCUUCUCCGUUGCCAGCAGCAAGACCCUUUCUGAUCUUCAUCGCAGGCUUUCCUUGUGUCCUUCUUCUAUUAGUGCAUCUGAGUGGACAGUUGGGGUUGUUGCAUAUGUGUGUGAUGGCCAAGUAAUGGCAGAGGUUCGUCUUCGGGAGCGCCAGUCAACUCUUGGAGACAGCGGUUCGUUGGCCAUGAGGUCACCAACUAGACUAUCGCUUCCUGCUCCCCGGUGAAGAGAUUUGUGCUCUGUGGCAAAGAAACUGGAGGAAAGGUAUUCGGAAUGAAACCUGGCUGACCAAACUGCUGCAAAUGCAAAAAUCUAAAUCAAAUUAUCGAGAAAAAGUUAUCUGAGGGCAUCAGCUGUGGUACCCUGUUUCCAAGAUAGAUAAAACUCCGAGAAGAUUGUCAACUUGAUUUUUCUUUCUCAAAAAUGGGUCCCGCAAAUCCAGGGUUCUAGGAAGCUCUUGUAGAGGCUGGCUCAGAGUUCGGUGCAUAGCUUUGCUAAUGGCUUGUUUUUCUGCAGAUAAGAUAUUAUAGGUCUGGGUGUCAUUGUAUUUUAUUGGCUCAAAAGACAAAGUACAAAGGAUAAGGAGGCAGUGGGUUCUGACUCAUCGAGGCUGCUGCCUGCCCGUGCCAUGUGAGCGUCUGCGGAGGGAACAUUGCGGUCCAUCAAGUAUAACUCUGCCUGCCCCAGCACUGCGGAAUUCUUUCCGCAUGACUCCAGGUGCUCAGACACCUUUCCUAAGCAGCUAACUUGAGAGCACAGAGCACUCCACAGAGAUGUGGCAAGGCUGUGUGAACUGUGUGGGUUGUUGUCGUGUAGACGAGCGUGUAAAUAAGAAUGUGGACUUAGUAAGCAUCGCUGUGACACACCGUCAUUCUUAGAGUGUGCUUGUUGAUGUUGGAAUGCUGCACACUCUCCAGGACUGCUUCCAAGAACCUACUUGAACACAUAUCCUUGGGCCUUUAGAGGGAAGGUGGAAAGGGUAAUUUGGUGGCCCUGCCAAGUUUCCUAGAUAAUAUUUUAGGAGGAAAUGAUGUAUGUGUUACAAGGCUCAGAGGAUGAUGAUGAACGAAGACCUUCUUAGCAAAUAAGAAUUCGCCUUCCAUGCUGUUUUUAUUAUUAUGGUUCUGUAAUAUAGUUUGGAAUCUGUUAUGGUAA